AUAAUUUGUGAUUGUGAGGCAUAUUUUCUUCAUUAUGUUGCAUAUGUGGAGACUUUAGUUUCACCAAUAACGGGUGAAAGUGAAAGGGCAAGCAAAGUGGAGAACAAGGGUGCAAAAAUGGAAGUUCUGUCCUUGGUGGCUCCUCCGGGUUGGAGUAAGAAAGGUCGCAGGAGAAAAAGGCAAAGACCAAAGCCAACAUCCUAGAUCAAAUCCAACACCUACUGGCUCAAACCAUCCAUCAUCUUCAUGACAUUGUUAAGAUCAUAGCAACUAGGUUUGGCAAAUUUGAAACUUGUGUGGAGACUGUAAGCAUUGUUAAGAUUAUUGCAAGCAAGUUAUCGAUUGAAAGUCCUGGUUGUGAU